rnacentral:misc_RNA from 1 species
UACAACGUAGAUCGACGAAAAAAUAGUCAAGCAACUACGCGUUAUUAAAGAUUACUCAAAAAGUAGUUAUCAGAUCUCAAUAAAAUUUAUAUGUGACCACAUGAUAAACAUCAGACUUCGAUUAAAUUAAAAAUUAUCAAAAUCGGUACACCCAAUAAAAAGUUAUUACGGAUUUUCGAGAGUUUUUCUCGAUUCCUCUGGGAUCCCAUCAUCAGAUCCUAGUUUCCUUAUCACGGUACCAACUUUCCAACAAAAAAAGAAUUAUCAAAAUCGGUACAUCCAGUAGAAAGUUAUGCGGUAUAAUACAACAUAGGUCGACGAAAAAAGCGUCAAGUAAAAACGCAUUAUUAGAUAUAGCUCGAAAAGUAGUUGUUAGAUCUCAAAUAAAUUUAAAUGGGACCAAUUGGCACACACCACCUUUCGAUUUAAAGAAAAUUUGCCGAAAUCGCUCCACCCAGUCAAAAGUUCUGAUGUAACAUACAGAAAAAAAAAAUACAGUCGAAUUGAGAACCUCCUCCUUUUUUGGCAGUCGGUUAAAAAAUA